AUUGAACGCUGGCGGCAGGCCUAACACAUGCAAGUCGAGCGGAUGAAGGGAGCUUGCUCCUGGAUUCAGCGGCGGACGGGUGAGUAAUGCCUAGGAAUCUGCCUGGUAGUGGGGGAUAACGUCCGGAAACGGGCGCUAAUACCGCAUACGUCCUGCGGGUGCAAGUGGGUGAUCUUCGGACCUCACGCUAUCAGAUGAGCCUAGGCCGGAUUGGCUAGUUGGUGGGGUAAAGGCCUACCAAGGCGACGAUCCGUAACUGGUCUGAGAGGAUGAUCAGUCACACUGGAACUGAGACACGGUCCAGACUCCUACGAGAGGCAGCAGUGGGGAAUAUUGGACAAUGGGCGAAAGCCUGAUACAGCCAUGCCGCGUGUGUGAAGAAGGUCUUCGGAUUGUAAAGCACGUUAAGUUGGGAGGAAGGGCAGUAAGUUAAUACCUUGCUGUUUUGACGUUACCAACAGAAUAAGCACCGGCUAACUUCGUG
rnacentral:rRNA from 1 species